AACUAACGCUGGCGGCGUGCCUAACACAUGCAAGUCGAACGAGAAAGUUGGCUUCGGCCGAUGAGUAAAGUGGCGCACGGGUGAGUAACGCGUGGAUAAUCUGCCCUUUAGUUUGGAAUAACGUACCGAAAGGUGCGCUAAUACCGGAUAAUACUGAAUGACUACUGUCGUUUAGUCAAAGAAGGCUUCUGUUUACAUGCUUUUGCUGAAGGAUGAGUCCGCGUACCAUUAGCUAGUUGGUAGGGUAAUGGCCUACCAAGGCGACGAUGGUUAGCUGGUCUGAGAGGAUGAUCAGCCACACUGGAACUGAGACACGGUCCAGACUCCUACGGGAGGCAGCAGUGAGGAAUAUUGCGCAAUGGGGGCAACCCUGACGCAGCAACGCCGCGUGAGUGAGGAAGGUUUUCGGACCGUAAAGCUCUGUCGAGCGGGAAGAAAUGCAUGGUGGCUAAUAUCCAUCAUGCUUGACGGUACCGCUAAAGGAGCACC
rnacentral:rRNA from 1 species